rfam:Firmicutes bacterium CAG:466 genomic scaffold, scf259
GAAAUUCUUCAGGGCAGGGUGAAAUUCCCGAUCGGCAGUAAAGUCUGCGAGCGCUUUGGCGCAGGAUUCGGUGCGAUUCCGAAACCGACAGUAUAGUCUGGAUGGGAGAAGAAUAAA